UGAAAUGCCGAAUUCCCAGGCACCCGGGAAACGGGGGACCCACUAAAGGGUGAAUUAAUUUCACCAUCGAGGAAGCAUCGAUGAGUAAAAUUAUAGGGAACCUUCAACCGAAUCCAUAAGCUAACCUCGUAGGCCUUGGAAGGAGUA
rnacentral:sRNA from 1 species